GUUCCCUGCCUGCACUUAUCUGAGGGCGGGAUGGGGGGUCAUCAUCUCACAGUUACUCAGACUGAAGCCAGACCUGCUGAUAGUCAUGCUGACCUGAGAGACAGAGAAGCCCUGAAGAGGAGGAAGGAGAAAGACUCAAGAUGGGGGUGGCAGAGGCACAGUACUGAGAAAUGACAGCAUGUGCCGGCCACAGAAGGUACUGACAGGACAGAGGAGAGCAGGGAGGGACAGACACCCGCUGGACUUCACAUGGUGUCUGCGGCAAGUCUUGGAAAGGAUCAAAGCAAGAGGAGAAGGUGACUCAUCCAUAGGAAAGUCACAGCUCUGGAGUGAGCCCAGUAGCUCGAGAUGCAAACGGAGAGGGACAGUAAUGAGUGACGAUUAUUGACACAGUCUGGGCGGCUGCUGGGCCUUGUUCAACUGGUCACCGCAGCCGCUGGCACCGUUGCCAGAAGCAAAGAGCUGAGCUGAGAUUAGAGGACACUCGGUCUGCAGGAAGCCCCAUGGCAGGGCUGUCUCUAGAUUCAGGCAGGAGCUGUGCGCAGUCUCGGAAAAUCCGGGAAUGAGGUCUGGUGAGUGGCUGCUGGUCAAGCCACUCCGUGGGAAUGUACCCGAGAAUAGAUACGCAUGCAGUGUCCCUGCCAGUUCCAGAUCCUGCUCUCGUCAGCCAUACCCGGUCCCUUCCCAGCCUGCCAUCACGGUCCAGUCUGAGAAUACUUGUGAAGUUUUCAUGGUUUCAUCGGAACCCUGAUGCCUUAAGAGCUGGUGUUGC
rnacentral:sRNA from 1 species